AACGCGAAGAACCUUACCAGCUCUUGACAUGUCCCGUAUGAGUACCAGAGAUGGAACUCUUCAGUUCGGCUGGCGGGAACACAGGUGCUGCAUGGCUGUCGUCAGCUCGUGUCGUGAGAUGUUGGGUUAAGUCCCGCAACGAGCGCAACCCUCGCCCUUAGUUGCCAUCAUUUAGUUGGGCACUCUAAGGGGACUGCCGGUGAUAAGCCGCGAGGAAGGUGGGGAUGACGUCAAGUCCUCAUGGCCCUUACGGGCUGGGCUACACACGUGCUACAAUGGCGGUGACAGUGGGAUGCAGAGGGGUAACCCCGAGCAAAUCUCAAAAAGCCGUCUCAGUUCGGAUUGUGCUCUGCAACUCGAGCACAUGAAGUUGGAAUCGCUAGUAAUCGCAGAUCAGCACGCUGCGGUGAAUACGUUCCCGGGCCUUGUA
rnacentral:rRNA from 1 species